CCUACGGGAGGCUGCAGUGAGGAAUAUUGGUCAAUGGACGCAAGUCUGAACCAGCCAUGCCGCGUGCAGGAAGACGGCUCUAUGAGUUGUAAACUGCUUUUGUACGAGGGUAAAUCCCGAUACGUGUAUCGGGUUGAAAGUAUCGUACGAAUAAGGAUCGGCUAACUCCGUGACAGCAGCCGCGGUAAUACGGAGGAUUCAAGCGUUAUCCGGAUUUAUUGGGGUUAAAGGGUGCGCAGGCGGAAGAUCAAGUCAGCGGUAAAAUUGAGAGGCUCAACCUCUUCGAGCCGUUGAGACUGGUUAUCUUGAGUGAGCGAGAAGUAUGCGGAAUGCGUGGUGUAGCGGUGAAAUGCAUAGAUAUCACGCAGAACUCCGAUUGCGAAGGCAGCAUACCGGCGCUCAACUGACGCUCAUGCACGAAAGUGUGGGUAUCGAACAGGAUUAGAUACCCUUGUAGUC
rnacentral:rRNA from 1 species